CGACUGGAAGAGCACGUCCAAGCAGUGAGGCUGAGUUUACAGGCAAAUCCGUAGACUUAAGGCUAGGCUGUGAUGGCGGGAAGGAAUUAUAGUACCGAAGUCACCGAUCUCAUGCUGCCAAGAAAAGCCUCUAGUGAGGAAUGGGGUACCCGUACCGUAAACCGACACAGGUGGGUGAGGAGAGAAUCCUAAGGCGCUCGGGAGAACUCUCGUUAAGGAACUCGGCAAAAUGACCCCGUAACUUCGGGAGAAGGGGUGCCUCGAUAGGGUGAAAGCCCGAGGAGGCCGCAGUGAAAAGGCCCAAGCGACUGUUUAGCAAAAACACAGGUCUCUGCAAAACCGUAAGGUGAAGUAUAGGGGCUGACGCUGCCCGGUGCUGGAAGGUUAAGGGGAGAGGUUAGCGUAAGCGAAGCUUUUGAACCGAAGCCCCAGUAAACGGCGGCCGUAACUAUAACGGUCCUAAGGUAGCGAAAUUCCUUGUCAGGUAAGUUCUGACCCGCACGAAUGGCGUAACGACUUGGGCACUGUCUCGACGAGAGACCCGGCUGAAAUUGUAAUACCUGUGAACGAUGCAGGUUACCCGCGACAAGACGGAAAGACCCCAUGGAGCUUUACUGUAGCCUGAUAUUGAAUUUUGGUACGAUCUGUACAGGGAUAGGUGGGAGCCAGAGAAGCCGGACCGCUAGGUUCGGUGGAGGCAAUGGUGGGAUACCACCCUGAUCGUAUUGAAAUUCUAACCUACAUCCCUAAACGGGAUGAGGGACCGUGUCAGGUGGGCAGUUUGACUGGGGCGGUCGCCUCCUAAAGAGUAACGGAGGCGCCCAAAGGUUCCCUCAGAAUGGUUGGAAAUCAUUCGCAGAGUGUAAAGGCAGAAGGGAGCUUGACUGCGA
rnacentral:ncRNA from 1 species